rnacentral:rRNA from 1 species
UACGUAGGGGGCAAGCGUUGUCCGGAAUCAUUGGGCGUAAAGCGCGUGUAGGCGGUUCGAUUAGUCUGCUGUGAAAGUCGGGGGGCUCAACCCUCGAAUGCCGGUGGAUACUGUCGGGCUAGAGUGCGGAAGAGGCGAGUGGAAUUCCUGGUGUAGCGGUGAAAUGCGCAGAUAUCAGGAGGAACACCAAUUGCGAAGGCAGCUCGCUGGGACGUUACUGACGCUGAGACGCGAAAGCGUGGGGAGCAAACAGG